UGGAAAAGACCCUCUAGUAGUUAAUGAGUGGUUGCGUACUAUCAAGAAGAUUUUUCGGCACGUAAUGGAGACAUUAUUCUAUUUAUUUUGAUAUUGAAAAUCAGGUUUUUGAAAUUGACAAUGAUUAUUCUUUUCUGAGUGAACUAGAAAGUUCUUUUUAUAGUAAUCAGAAUUCUAGUUAUAUGAAUAAUGGAUCUACUAGUGAAGAUCCCUACUACAAUCGUUACAUGUAUGAUACUCAAUAUAGUUGGAAUAAUCACAUUAAUAUUUCUUUUUGUCUUGGUCCCAAUUCAAUACUAAACAAGUCCAAACUAAUUGAAUAUCAGUAUCAGAAAUUCCUCGAAUUGGUUUGCCAUUUCCAUAAAGGAUAUAAUUGACAACUCGAAGUUGCACAUUAUUCCUUUCCUGCAAC
rnacentral:lncRNA from 1 species